rnacentral:misc_RNA from 1 species
AAGUCGUAACAAGGUUUCCGUAGGUGAACCUGCGGAAGGAUCAUUACAAAUCUUGAGUUGGUCCCCUAGUGGGGCUGACAUUAGCACAAGGCCGCAAGGUCUUGAUGUUUACGCUUGUAUGUUUGACAAAGUUAAAUUGUGACCUUAAAAAUGACAACUUUUAACAACGGAUCUCUUGGCUCUU